GUGAGAUGGAGCGUACCUCGGAGGCGACUACUAGCAACAGCAGGAUUGUCUCGGUCACUGUCGACAUGUUCAAUCACUCGUGCGUUUGACGUCUAGAACUCACUGCCGUGAUGGAUGACGCUGUUUUGUCAUUACGGGUUACCGUUGUUGCGGCAACGGUGUCUGAAUGCGCAUGCUUAAUUAGUUAACACGUGUGUACUUACAUGAUGUGCUAGACAAGUUGACUUUCACUAUUA